CACGCCGUAAACGAUGGAUGCUAGAUGUUUGGAGGUAUCGACCCCUUCAGAAUCGAAGCUAACGCGUUAAGCAUCCCGCCUGAGUAGUACGAACGCAAGUUUAAAACUCAAAGGAAUAGACGGGGACCCGCACAAGCGGUGGAGCGUGUUCUUUAAUUGGAUGAUAAGCCAAGAACCUUACCCAGGUUUGACAUCCUGCGAAGGACUCCGAAAGGAAUCUGUGCUUUUUGAACGCAGUGACAGGUGU
rnacentral:rRNA from 1 species